AUUGAACGCUGGCGGCAGGCCUAACACAUGCAAGUCGAGCGGAUGAAGGGAGCUUGCCCCUGGAUUCAGCGGCGGACGGGUGAGUAAUGCCUAGGAAUCUGCCUGGUAGUGGGGGAUAACGUCCGGAAACGGGCGCUAAUACCGCAUACGUCCUGAGGGAGAAAGUGGGGGAUCUUCGGACCUCACGCUAUCAGAUGAGCCUAGGUCGGAUUAGCUAGUUGGUGGGGUAAAGGCCUACCAAGGCGACGAUCCGUAACUGGUCUGAGAGGAUGAUCAGUCACACUGGAACUGAGACACGGUCCAGACUCCUACGGGAGGCAGCAGUGGGGAAUAUUGGACAAUGGGCGAAAGCCUGAUCCAGCCACGCCGCGUGUGUGAAGAAGGUCUUCGGAUUGUAAAGCACUUUAAGUUGGGAGGAAGGGCAGUAAGUUAAUACCUUGCUGUUUUGACGUUACCAACAGAAUAAGCACCGGCUAACUUCGUG
rnacentral:rRNA from 1 species